GGAAUUCCUUCUUUAUCUUGAAUCUUAGCUUUAACAUUCUCUAUUGUGUCUGAAGCUUCAACUUCUAAGGUAAUGGUCUUACCAGUGAGAGUUUUGACAAAGAUUUGCAUACCUCCUCUAAGUCUCAACACUAAAUGGAGUGUAGAUUCCUUUUGGAUAUUAUAAUCUGAGAGAAGUGUUCUACCAUCUUCAAGUUGUUUUCCAGCAAAAAUCAAACGUUGUUGAUCUGGUGGAAUUCCCUCUUUAUCUUGAAUCUUAGCCUUUACAUUCUCUAUUGUGUCUGAAGCUUCAACUUCUAAGGUGAUAGUUUUUCCUGUUAAAGUCUUAACAAAGAUCUGCAUU